UACGUAGGGUGCAAGCGUUGUCCGGAAUUAUUGGGCGUAAAGAGCUCGUAGGCGGUUUGUCGCGUCUGCUGUGAAAACUGGAGGCUCAACCUCCAGCCUGCAGUGGGUACGGGCAGACUAGAGUGCGGGAGAGGAGAGUGGAAUUCCCGGUGUAGCGGUGAAAUGCGCAGAUAUCGGGAAGAACACCCGUGGCGAAGGCGGCUCUCUGGAACGCAACUGACGCUGAGACGGCGAAAAGCGUGGGGAGCAAACAGGG
rnacentral:rRNA from 1 species